rnacentral:rRNA from 1 species
CAUGCCGUAAACGUUGGGCACUAGGUGUGGGGAUUGUUCCACGAUUCCUGUACCGUAGCUAACGCAUUAAGUGCCCCGCCUGGGGAGUACGGCCGCAAGGCUAAAACUCAAAGGAAUUGACGGGGGCCCGCACAAGCGGCGGAGCAUGCGGAUUAAUUCGAUGCAACGCGAAGAACCUUACCAAGGCUUGACAUACGCUAGAUCGCUCCAGAGAUGGGGUUUUCCUUUGGACUGGUGUACAGGUGG